rnacentral:rRNA from 1 species
AGGAGAGUUUGAUCCUGGCUCAGGAUGAACGCUGGCGGCGUGCUUAACACAUGCAAGUCGAACGAAGCAACUUAUUACGAUCCCUUCGGGGUGACGAUUUGUUGACUGAGUGGCGGACGGGUGAGUAACGCGUGGGUAACCUGCCUUGUACAGGGGGACAACAGUUGGAAACGACUGCUAAUACCGCAUAAGCGCACAGUACCGCAUGGUACAGUGUGAAAAGUUUUUUCGGUACAAGAUGGACCCGCGUCUGAUUAGCUAGUUGGUGAGGUAACGGCUCACCAAGGCGACGAUCAGUAGCCGACCUGAGAGGGUGACCGGCCACAUUGGGACUGAGACACGGCCCAAACUCCUACGGGAGGCAGCAGUGGGGAAUAUUGCACAAUGGGCGAAAGCCUGAUGCAGCGACGCCGCGUGAGCGAAGAAGUAUUUCGGUAUGUAAAGCUCUAUCAGCAGGGAAGAUAAUGACGGUACCUGACUAAGAAGCACCGGCUAAAUACGUGCCAGCAGCCGCGGUAAUACGUAUGGUGCAAGCGUUAUCCGGAUUUACUGGGUGUAAAGGGAGCGUAGGCGGUUUUACAAGUCUGAUGUGAAAGCCCGGGGCUCAACUCCGGUAUUGCAUUGGAAACUGUAGAACUAGAGUGUCGGAGGGGUAAGUGGAAUUCCUAGUGUAGCGGUGAAAUGCGUAGAUAUUAGGAGGAACACCAGUGGCGAAGGCGGCUUACUGGACGAUUACUGACGCUGAGGCUCGAAAGCGUGGGGAGCAAACAGGAUUAGAUACCCUGGUAGUCCCCU